AGAAAUUUAGGUUAAAACAAACCAAGGGCCUUCAAAGCCCUAAAUAGACGCCCAAGCGCUAAUUUCUG
rnacentral:tRNA from 1 species